CUUGAACGCUGGCGGCAGGCCUAACACAUGCAAGUCGAGCGGAGCGGCCGACGGGCGGGUAAUUCCUAGGAAUCUGCCUGGUUGUGGGGGAUAACUUACUGCUACGGGCGCUAGUACCUCAUACUAUCAGAUGAGCCUAGGUGGGAUUAGCUAGUUGGUGGGGUAAAGGCCUACCUAGACGACGAUCCGUAACUGGUCUGAGAGGAUGAUCAGUCACACUGGAACUGAGACACGGUCCAGACGCCUACGGGAGGCAGCAGUGGGGAAUAUUGGACAAUGGGCGAAAGCCUGAUGCAGCCAUGCCGCGUGUGUGAAGAAGGUCUUCGGGUUGUAAAGCACUUUAAGUUGGGAGGCGUUACCCGCAGAAGAAGCACCGGCUAACUUCGUGCCAGCAGCCGCGGUAAUUC
rnacentral:rRNA from 1 species